rnacentral:rRNA from 1 species
GCAGAACGCGAAGAACCUUACCAAGGCUUGACAUGGAUUUCUAAGCACGUGAAAGCGUGUGACCCUUCGGGGGACUUCCACAGGUGCUGCAUGGCCGUCGUCAGCUCGUGUCGUGAGAUGUUGGGUUAAGUCCCGCAACGAGCGCAACCCUUGUGAACAGUUGCCAGCGCGUCAUGGCGGGAACUCUGUUCAGACUGCCCAGAUCAACUGGGAGGAAGGUGGGGACGACGUCAGGUCAGUAUGGCCCUUACGCCUUGGGCUGCACACGUACUACAAUGCCCAGCACAAUGAGAACCGAUACCGCGAGGUGGAGGAAAUCUGCAAAACUGGGCUCAGUUCGGAUUGGAGGCUGCAACUCGCCUCCAUGAAGUUGGAAUCGCUAGUAAUGGGGCAUCAUCUACGGCCCCGUGAAUACGUUCCCGGGUCUUGUACACACCG